CUUCUUCAGGAGAAAAACGAUCUUCAACUGCAAGUAGCUUCUGAAUCUGAAAACCUCUCUGACGCUGAGGAGAGAUGUGAAGGGCUCAUCAAAAGCAAGAUCCAGCUCGAGGCCAAACUCAAAGAGAC